rnacentral:rRNA from 1 species
UGCGUAGGGUGCAAGCGUUAAUCGGAAUUACUGGGCGUAAAGCGUGCGCAGGCGGUUUUGUAAGCCAGAUGUGAAAGCCCCGGGCUUAACCUGGGAAUAGCAUUUGGGACUGCAAGGCUCGAGUGCGGCAGAGGAGACUGGAAUUCCUGGUGUAGCAGUGAAAUGCGUAGAUAUCAGGAGGAAUACCGAUGGCGAAGGCAGGUCUCUGGACAGUUCCUGACACUGAGACACGAAGGCCAGGGGAGCAAACGGG